AAACUGAUAAUCUGUCAACCUCUUAUGGCUACCGCUUGUUCACUAACCACCGCUACAGCAUUGUUAUCUCGCCUCCCCUUUCUUGAAUUCACACCUUGUACCUCAUCCUCUUCACAUCGAAAACCGAACCGUUUAUGUUUCCAUUCCAGAACUAAAGGUUUUGUUUAAUUAUUUAUGACUCUCAGCUAGAAGAACACCCCAAGCAACAAAAUCUUGUAAGACCGUCACCGUUUCAUGCUUUAAACAACAAUCCCAUAUCCUUAAUCUUUAAUUCUCCUGAAACCCAUAAUUGGGGCACUGAAAGUGAUCCUGGGUUCAAAUAUCACAACGGAAAUUCAGAACCUCGUUGCUUUGGUGAAUGCAAUCCUGCACCCUAAAGGAUCAUAAUGAAGCCCUGGAACAGAAAGGAUUUCUUUCCUGUCAAUACAGGUUGUGACAAGAGCUUUUGAUUGCUUCAAGUAGGCAUGGCUCAAAUUAAGCUGUUAUGUUUUUACAGUUUAGUUUCUAUAUGAUAUAAGAAAGGGUGCAAAUCCUCAGAACACACUGCUCUUUGUGUCAAUAUUUAUUUGACUCUCCUAAUUAGAUAUCAUGCAAGAUCUGUUUUCUUUAGAUGUAUGUUGCUGUAUUUGUAGAGGAUGAUUAUCCCAAGCAAGAAGUAAUUUUUAUAUCAGGAAAUAUUGGUAUUACUGUUGAUGACACAUACAAGGCUUGCGAGAGAUUUGAACGCCUAGGUGUGGAGUUUGUGAAAAAACCUAACGAUGAUCUGUGAGUCUGGUUGCUGGAAAAAUGAAAGGGAUAGCAUUCAUCAAGGAUCCUGAUGGCUAUUGGACUGAAAUCUUCGAUCUCAAGACUAUUGGAAAAGUAACUGGAACCGCUGCUUGAAAUCAUGUGAGUCACUACAGCUUUUGUUGUUGUUGUUGUUGAUGAUGAUUUAUUCUUAUUUGUCUUCCAUCUUCAUUAGAUUGGCAACGUAAUCAAAUUUUUACUGUUACUGUUCAAGAUGCAAAAUUGUGUUCAUAUAUACUCACAGACAGUCAUUAGUAUCUACACAUUUCAUCGGUGAUAGACAUCUUUAUAGUUAGUGUGCAAGUCCCAGUUGAAGACCGUAUCACCUCUGACUUAUUUGGAAUUGUAAAGACUCGAGUGUGUACUGGUUAAGAGUUUGUGAGAUGAAAGAAGUGGUGAAAUGUUCUCUGGCUAAUUGCUAAUUGUUAGGGUGCUUGGUUGUAUUACCGUAUAAAUUUUAUGAAAUAUUAUUGUGAUGGUGGGUGGCCAUUGCUUUAUUCAUUUUAACCUCCAUAUAAUCUUUACCCUGCUAGGCAACGUUGAACCACUGUUGGGAAUCAAGAGUCAACCUCCUUAACAAAUGGAAUGUCUAGCAGAGCUAAAAAGCUAUGUGGUUUGCAUGACUACACUGACCAUCCUUCACCAUCCAAGCAUGCCUCUUGGCUUCUUCCAUAGCUUCAUUAUUCUUGCAUUUAUGUUGUGUGUUGCUUACGCAUUCUUUCGUGUCCCUUUUUGAUGCUCCAUAUAUUUUGAGAUGCUUCAACAGUGGUACAUGUUAUACCUGUCUUGUUUCUAAUAUUCAUGUAUAAUCUAGAGGGAGCCCCCAUGAGAGUAUGAUGAUUGUGCUGUCACAUUUCUGGUCUCCAACAAUUUAUACUCCCUAUGGUAUCAAGUCUUGUAUCUAGGUAAUGUGUAAAGCAAUACACUCUGAUCUGCCGCCUCCUUAAUGCACUCUCUUGGCUCAAGGCUCCCAAGCGGUGAGAUCCCAGCUAGAUUUAACUGGAAUCUCUGCUGUGUGAUCCAGCUCUUUUUUUCCCUUUUCUUCUCUCUUAUGAGUUUUGGGUGUAAGGGUGGCCUGGCAGCACUUCAUUUUGUUAUCCAUGUUUUCGGCGGUGAUCAUUUUGUGCAGGAAAGUGGGCAUUUUGCAGUCUUCAAGAUUUCUUUCUUCAAAAGAUGCUGCAGAGUAAGACUUAAGUUUUGUUUUCAAUGCACGCAUCUCUUGUGAUGGAGAUGACCUAUAUUUUCGUUCAACAUUUUUUUCAUCGCCUACUCAUUUUGUAGUUGAAUUUAGGGUUUGGCACCCCGAAAUGUACUAGGAAUUGAAAAUAAAUGGCUAGGUUUUUGUGGCUUUU